AGUUUGAUCCUGGCUCAGGAUGAACGCUGGCGGCAUGCCUAACACAUGCAAGUCGAACGGAAUCUUAUAUGUUCCUUGUCUCGAAUCUUUGCGGAUUAGAGCUACGGAACAAUAAGAUUUAGUGGCGGACGGGUGAGUAACACGUUGGUACCUACCCCUUAGUGGGGGAAUAACUUCGAGAAAUCGAGGCUAAUACCGCAUAAUAUCUACGGAUUAAAGCAUUUAUGCGCUAAGGGAGGGGCCUGCGUCUGAUUAGCUAGUUGGUGAGGUAAAAGCUCACCAAGGCGACGAUCAGUAGCUGGAUCGAGAGGUUGACCAGCCACACUGGGACUGAGAUACGGCCCAGACUCCUACGGGAGGCAGCAGUGAGGAAUCUUCCACAAUGGACGAAAGUCUGAUGGAGCAAUGCCGCGUGCAGGAUGACGGCCUUCGGGUUGUAAACUGCUUUUAUAUGGGAAGAUUAUGACGGUACCAUAUGAAUAAGGACCGGCUAACUACGUG
rnacentral:rRNA from 1 species